AGAGAGGCGGCCAAGAUGGCGGUGCUGGUCGACCACGCCUCCUCCGGGAGCGGAGGCGGGUGGCUGUUCUCGGGUAGGCGUCGCGCGUGGGGCGGCACUGUGGGAGUUCCCGAGGCCGAGGUCGUUCGCAGGCCCCAUUUCCCUGCGCUCUUAUUCGUGUUGCCGCUUCUUGGCCGUCCUUGCUCUUUGACACAAAAGUGUAGUUUCGGCACAAAUUUACAAAUUAAACUCCACAGACUUCCGCAGGGAAGUGAGAUACCCCCAGGUCUCCCUGAGGAAGGCUCGGGAAAGACUGGGCCGGCCUCACUCACAGUAAGCCUGACCCUGGGUUCUCCCACUGUGUGGAGCCAGAUUUCUCAGCGAGCCUUGGGCGGCAUGGGAAAAGGCCUCUGGGCCAAGUUGGUCCUAGGCUGGAAGAGGGAUGUGGGUCCUCUCCUCCAACUCCCCCACCCUAUCUUCUUAUAGAGCGCUGGAAGUGUGUGAACUUUCCAAGUCCAAAAAGUCUUCACUUGGCGAAGACCUUCAUCUAUUGCUUUGUAGACUCAAAUGUAGUUUGUGCCAUAAGCCACGACUGACUCAACCCAUUUCUGGCCAAGCAGUUACCUUCUGUAGCCUGUUUUCUGGUCUGUGUAAAGCAAAUAACGCCCACUUUACGAAUUUUAUAGUGGAUACAGAUAAAGAUGAAGCCACCACGAAAGAAAUAAUUCCUUUUCAUCUCUUAAUUCCUUGCUAAAUCAACUGAUACCGCUAACCUAGCCAAUGGAAUUUUAAAUGGAAAUUUCCCUACUCCAAAACAAUAGCUUUUAGUCUUUGCAACAGAAAAGCAAGUAAUAAUAAUGACAGAUAACACAUGUGUUUACUAUAUGCUAAACAGUGUUCCUAUAACUUCACAAAUACUGGCUACUUUAAGCCUAAGAAUAACCCUAUGGAGUAUGUAUUACUACUGUAAUUUGUAUAUUGGGCAACAGAAGCAAGUAAAAUUGAGUAGCUUGACCCAAGGAAGAAGUUUUGUAAGUGGUACAAACUUAACUAAGUCACACAACUAUAUUGAGUGACAGAGCCCACCUUUGAAACCAGACAGUCUGUGAUAACAGUCCACAUUCAACCAUAUUCCUAUAUACCAUCUGGCAGUGGGAACAUCCUAAUCUCCAUUUGCUGAUAAAAGUUUGUGGCAGUAACAGAGUUCAGAUCAAUUUCGGCGAUCUUUUACUUACAUGUAAGUUUUUACAGAACAAGAAUUAAGGCAUUUAUUGGUUGUUUCCUGUACAUUCACACAUGGUGAAGAUUCCUGUCUUCCAUCCCCAUUCGGUGUUCUCAUCUCAAAAUAAUAUCUUACAUUUAGACAUUACUUUUUGCUGCAUUAUCACAAGCAUCAUCCCCAAUUCUCAGAGUUAACCCCUACAGGUUCUGCUUAGAUGAUGUAAUGAAAAGAUCACAAACGUUGGGUUAGGAGAAAUUCCACUGGCUCUACCUCUAGUCAUUCUUUGAACUAAGGCCCAAUGUCAAUGUCUUUUGCUGUAAAAUCCAGAGGUUAGAUUAGAUAAUCCAAUAAAACCCCUUCUAGCUUUUAGGUUUUUAAGACUCCUCAUUCCGCUGAAUUUCUUUUUUUGUUUGUUUGUUUUGUUUUGUUUUGAGAUGGAGUUUCACUCUUGUUGCCCAGGCUGGAGUGCAAUGGCACGAUCUUGGCUCACUGCAACCUCCACCUCCCAGGUUCAAGCGAUUCUCCUGCCUCAGCCUCCCAAGUAGCUGGGAUUACAGGCAUGCGUCACCCCACUCGGCUAAUUUUGUAUUUUUAGUAGAGAUGGGAUUUCUCCAUGUUCAUCAGGGUGGUCUCAAACCCCUGACCUCAGGUGGUCUGCCCACCUCGGCCUCCCAAAGUACUGGAAUUACAGGUGUGAGCCACUGCACCCAG
rnacentral:lncRNA from 1 species